rnacentral:rRNA from 1 species
UACGAAGGGGGCUAGCGUUGUUCGGAAUUACUGGGCGUAAAGGGCGCGUAGGCGGCCUUGUAAGUGAGAUGUGAAAGACCUGGGCUUAACCUAGGAAGUGCAUUUCAGACUGCAAAGCUAGAGUGCGAGAGAGGAAAGUGGAAUGACGAGUGUAGAGGUGAAAUUCGUAGAUAUUCGUUGGAACACCAGUGGCGAAGGCGACUUUCUGGCUCGCAACUGACGCUAAGGCGCGAAAGCGUGGGGAGCAAACAGG